GGCACAAAGAGGUUAUAUAACUUGCCCAGAUUCAGACAGCUUAUAAAUGAGAGCCAGGAUUUGAAACCAGGAAGUUUGGCUUCAGAGCAGUGGCUUCACCAGUAUGUGAUUCUGCCUCACUUCGGCUCAAGGAACAGGGAGUUGCUGCACAGUAACCUCAGCAGGGAAAACAGCACCCAGUUUGCAAGGCUGUGAUAAAGAGGGAACACUGCAAAGAGCACCCAUCACAACAGGAAAUGAAUAAAUGGGAGCCAUUACUGUUAUCACCCCCUUGUCGGCUUAUAGGAGACAGCAGCUGUUACCAGACCCUCCUCUCUUCUGGGAGAGCACCAGACUGGGCUCCCUGAACGGGCUGACGAGAGCUAUUUCCCAGAGCUGCACACCUCCCAGGGAGUGCAGGCUCCGUCUCCACCAGUCUCCAGCUUCCCGCCAGCCCUAACUCUGGGCUGUGGCACCUGGGGGAACCGUGAAAGCCAAAGCUUUUACUCUCCACCUCCUGCACUCCAGGCUGUGAGAGACUGCCCUGCGCCUGUCCUGAGACAGCCAUCUUUCCUGAGUGACUCUGUGCCCAAGCCUGUGGCCUUACGCAGGGCUCUAGGGUUUUAAUGGGACUCGGGCCUGAUCCCUGAUCUUGAGGACCAAGGGGAGGCAAGCAGGGAUGCAGAUGCUGACCAAGCCAGGGGAUCAAUGACUGCACUGUCAGGAUGUCACUGCGUAGAGGGAAUCUGUCUUUAUUUAUUGGCUCUUUCCUGUGCAGAAUCCAAGGGAGUCUCCCUCUGGCCCAGAUCCCUGGGAAGGAGGCCACAUAUAGAGGGGGGUCGUGGCUCAAUGUCAGCACCUCUGGAAACCCGUCCACCCCGCCGCCCCCAGAGCCCCCGAUGUGUCCCUGCUGAAGCAUGCAUUACACGGGACUGCUGCUGUCUAUCAUGGGCCUGCUAAACGCCCCGAGUCACCCAGAGCCUCGUGAGGGCAGGGGCCAGUCCUGUGCACACUCCUGGCUGACCAGAUGCACGGUGAUAGAAGAACCCUUAAUUUUGGCUGUGUGCACAGCUGCCUGGUACGAGAACUAUAUUUUCCAGUCUCCUUUGCAGCUCUGAGAAGCCAUGAGACUACAUCCUGGACGACGGGAUGCAAGUGCAGGUGUUGUGCAGCGGCUUCCAGAAGCCUUCCUUAACAGGCACCUGGAGUUGAUGAGGAAGUGGAAAUAUUAGAACCCUCCCAUAUUGCUGGUGGGAAUGUAAAAUGGGGCAGCUGCUCUGGAAAACAGGAGUUCUUCAAAAUAUUCAACAAGGAGUGACCAUAUGGCCCAGUAAUUCCAUACCCAGGAAUCUAAGAGAAAUGAAAACAUAUGUCCAUACAAAAACUUGUACAUGAGUGUCCACAGCAGCCCAAAGUGGAAACAGACUAAAUGUCCAUCAACUGACAAAUGGAUAAAUAAAAUGUGGUAUAUCUAUACAAUAGAAUAUUAUUUGACAAUAAAAAGGAAUAAAGUACUGAUGCAUACUACAACAUGACUCAACCUUGAAAACAUUCGGUUAAGUGAAAGACGCCAAACACAACAGACCACAUAUAUGAUUCCACUUAUAUGAAAUGUCCAGAAGAGGCAAAUCUAUUAAGACAGAAAGUAGAUUAGUGGUUGCUUAAGGCUGGAGGGGAAUGGGGAGUGACUGCUAAUUAAUGGGUAUGGGUUUCUUUUUGAAGUGAUAAAAAUGCUCCAAACUUAGAUUUUGGCGAUGUUUGCACAAUUCUAUGAAUAUACUAAAAAGCAUUCAAUUGUGUACUUUAAAUGUGUGUUUUAUGGUGUGUGAACUAUAUCUCAAUAAAGAUGUGU